CGGGCUGGUCUCAAACUCCUGGUCUCAACUGAUCCACCCGCCUCGGACUCCCACAGUGCUGGGAUUAUAGGCGUAAGCCACCCGUGCUUGGCCUCUGCUGAGAUUUCUAAACUGACAGAAUGAAGCUCAGGGGCCAUCUUUGCUGCGACACAGGGAGAAGGUGCCUGAGAAUUAAGCCAUCCUGGGAAGGCAGAGUGGAGAAUCCUCAUGGCAUUCAUGACAUUUUUUUUUUUUUUUUUUUUUGAGACGGAGUCUCGCUCUGUCACCCAGCCUAGAGUGCAGUGGCGCAAUCUCGGCUCACGGCAAGCUCCGCCUCCUGGGUUCAGGCCAUUCUCCUGCCUCAGCCUCCCGAGUAGCUGGGACUACAGGCGCCCGGCGCCACGCCCGGCUAGUUUUUUGUAUUUUUACUGGAUACGGGGUUUCACCGUGUUAGCCAGGAUGGUCUCGAUCUCCUGACCUCGUGAUCCGCCCGCCUCGACCUCCCAAAGUGCUGGGAUUACAGGCGUGAUCCACCGCGCCCGGCCUCAUGACAUCUUUUGACCCCCUGGAUUCAACCAGUUCACCUGGAGGGACUAGGGUUCUGGAGGACACGCUUAGGGAAGCUCCGUUCUGGCCCUGGGCAGGAUGCAGACCUGUCAUGGAGUUCCUGAGGGGAGAAGUCAAGGACAGCAUGAUAGCAUGGAUGAUCAGGGUGUGAAGCAAGAAAGACAUUGAGUGGGAAUAUCCAGCCACCCAGAAACACCUGGAGUUGAGACUCCCCAGGGGCGGAGUCCUCUCAGAGACAGUCUGAGAGGAAGUGGCUGAUGUGGGCAUUGAAUACGUUCAUCUGCUGCUACGGAUUUGGGGUCUUGUUCUCACACUUCAAGUGCAGUGUGUGGAUUAGACUAAUUCGGAGUGGAUUCAUGCUUCACAAAAAAAUCAUACUGUAGCUGCCUGUGCGAGAAUUAACCCACCUGCUCUGCUUCUACCUGUAAGGAAAUGGUACCAAUUUCCUCAAGCUGCAAGACUGAGAGACAGAGACACCCCAGGAUUGGGCAAUUAUGUUAGGAAAUUCAACAUUCGAGAUGAAUGGAAAAUGGCUGGGGACUUUUUCUCAACAACUUGGCUCGAACAGGAUUGAUUCCAGGACUGAGAAGUAUUCAAGUGACUCAGUGCCUGCAGUGAUAUAAAAUAGGAUCAUUUGGUAGCUGGAAAAUCUAAGGUGUGCCCUAUCAUCAAAGCACCGGCAUUUAAUAAAGUUGAUUAAGGAUGUUGAAGCAGCAAGGAGGGAAACCAACCAUGGAACACCGGGUCAACCCUGCAUUAGGAGUCCGGAACAUCACAGAGACACAGGGAGAUGUCUUCUAAAUUUCUGCAUGGACCAGGAGACUUUUUCUUGCCUCUAGAAGGACAUGGAAUGUUCUUUCUGGAACACCCCCCAGCACUGGCUCAGGACAUCUCUGUGAGGGUUCUUAGAGGACUCAGGGAAUGCUGUCUGCACCUGCACACACAGGUGUGUGGGUUUCCUCUGGGCAUUGGCUGCAUGUUAGGCAUUUGGUAUUCUGUCCUAUACAUGAUGGGAUAAAGUGUUUAAGAGAUAAAUGUUCCAAGACCUUCCUGAUCUACCCAUGAAUAAACAACCUGACUGGGACUGCCCUCUACCCCCUGAGAAGGGCACUGCUUGGCAGACCAGCUGCUUAUACUCAGAAUCUGGAGAAAGGAGGAGGGAGGAAAGUGCAAAAGGCCUGGGGAGUAUGGCUUGGAAAAUGAAGUUUUUCAAGGUAGUUGGGGGAAAAAAUAAGUUCAGAGCCACAGUGGUAUGAGAACGAAAUAGAUGAAAGAGAAAAUGGGAGUGUGUUCAGAAUGGCUGACAUUGGCAGGGCAUGGUGACUCAUGUCUGUAAUCCAAGUGUUUUGGGAGGCCAAGGCAGGAGGAUUGCUUGAGGCCAAAAGUUUGAGACCAGCCUGAGCAAGAUAGUGAGACCUCACCCGUACAAAAUAUAAAAAAUAUUAGCCAGGUGUGGUGGUGUGCAUGUAGUUCCAGCUACUGGGGAGGCUGAGGUGGGAGGAUUGCUUGAACCAAGGAAUUUGAGGCUGCAGUGAGCUAUGAUCACGACACUGCACUCCAGCCCGGACAACUGAGCAAGACCCUGUCUUUAAAAAAUAGAAUGGCUGAGGUCUAUAUGUGUCCUUCUUGGUGUUUGAAAAAUAUUAGUCCAGGACAGAAGUGCUUGCUUUGAAAUUACUCUUGAUUGCUGGACUGGACUUUCUUGACCUCAAAUACACCGUGGGAUUGGGUAUUGUGAGUCAUGGCUUAAAGUACUACUGAGAUGUACGUCCAGACCCU
rnacentral:lncRNA from 1 species